rnacentral:rRNA from 1 species
AGACCGAUAGCGAACAAGUAGAGUGAUCGAAAGAUGAAAAGCACUUUGGAAAGAGAGUCAAACAGCACGUGAAAUUGUUAAAAGGGAAGCGCUUGCAGCCAGACUUGCUUACAGUUGCUCAUCCGGGCUUUUGCCCGGUGCACUCUUCUGUAGGCAGGCCAGCAUCAGUUUGGGCGGUAGGAUAAAGGUCUCUGUCACGUACCUCCUUUCGGGGAGGCCUUAUAGGGGAGACGACAUACUACCAGCCUGGACUGAGGUCCGCGCAUCUGCUAGGAUGCUGGCGUAAUGGCUGUAAGCGGCCCGUCUUGAAACACGGACCAAG